rnacentral:rRNA from 1 species
AAUCAACGCUGGCGGCGUGCCUAACACAUGCAAGUCGAACGCGAAAGCCCGCAAGGGUAAGUAGAGUGGCGCACGGGUGAGUAACACGUGGACAACCUGCCUUCGAGUGGGGAAUAACCUUCCGAAAGGAGGGCUAAUACCGCAUAACACCUCGGGACACAAGUUCUGGGGUUGAAAAGAGCAAUUUGCUCGAAGAGGGGUCCGCGCCUGAUUAGCUAGUUGGUGAGGUAACGGCUCACCAAGGCUUCGAUCAGUAGCCGUCCUGAGAGGGAGCACGGCCACACUGGAACUGAGACACGGUCCAGACUCCUACGGGAGGCAGCAGUGGGGAAUUUUUGGCAAUGGGCGAAAGCCUGACCAAGCAACGCCGCGUGGGUGAUGAAGUAUCUUGGUACGUAAAACCCUUUCGGCAGGGACGAACCUAAUGACGGUACCUGCGGAAGAAGCCCCGGCUAACUCCGUGCCAGCAGCCGCGGUAAU